rnacentral:rRNA from 1 species
UACGAAGGGGGCUAGCGUUGUUCGGAUUUACUGGGCGUAAAGGGCGCGUAGGCGGCGUGUUAAGUCAGCUGUGAAAUCUCCAAGCUUAACUUGGAACGGUCAGCUGAUACUGAUGUGCUAGAGUGCAGAAGGGGCAAUCGGAAUUCCCAGUGUAGCGGUGAAAUGCGUAGAUAUUGGGAGGAACACCAGUGGCGAAGGCGGCUCCCUGGACCGGUUCUGACGCUGAGGCGCGAAAGCGUGGGUAGCAAACAGG